rnacentral:rRNA from 1 species
UUCGCAAUGCCCGAAAGGGUGACGAAGCGACGCCGCGUGUGGGAAGAAGGCCUUCGGGUUGUAAGCCACUGUCAGGAGUUAAGAAGUGUAGUGGAGCGAAUAGCGCCACUGCUUGACUAAGGCUCCAGAGGAAGCCACGGCUAACUCUGUGCCAGCAGCCGCGGUAAUACAGAGGUGGCAAGUGUUGUUCGGAAUUAUUGGGCGUAAAGAGCACGUAGGCGGUUCUGCAAGUCGGCUGUGAAAGCCUUCCGCUCAACGGAAGAACAGCAGUUGAUACUACAGGACUAGAGUGCGGGAGGGGAGAGUGGAACUUCUGGUGGAGCGGUGAAAUGCGUAGAUAUCAGAAGGAACGCCGGCGGCGAAAGCGACUCUCUGGCCCGUAACUGACGCUGAGUGUGCGAAAGCUAGGGGAGCAAACGGGAUUAGAUACCCCGGUAGUCCUAGCCGUAAACGAUGGGCACUAAGUAGAGGGGUUUU